GUUCAAAGAUCUCAUUAUCAUGACAUCACACUCCUCCUUGUUCUUUCUCCUCCUCUCACUCUCUUCAGAAGCUUAGCUUAGUCGUUGGAUCUCGUUGAUUUCGAAAUCUGCGGAGUCUUUUUGCUUUAUCAAAAUCGAAGCUGAAGAUGAAAAGUUCAUCUCUUUUCAUGGCUGCAGCCACUCGAUGAAACAGACAAGUGGAGAUCACGCUUUCAACCGUCCCUCUACCUUUCAGACCUUUGCCCUGGAUCCUCAGGUUAAGAGUAACAUAAUGGAUGACUUGGAUCGGUUUGUGGUGGAUCAAACGUGCUGCAAGGUGCUCAAGGAAACUGCUAACAAUUCCAUCCUAGUUGUGGAGGAUAUAAAUUACUUAAGCAACUUCAUGAGUACAGAGCUGGAAGAUGAUGAUUCAAAGGUAACACUCUUGGGCUUACUUGAUUUUAUGGAUAGGGGUUGGUCAAACUGUGGUGACCAGAGGGUCAUCAUCUUCACAACAAACAACAAAGAGAUGGUUGAUCCAGUGUGUUUCUAAGACCCGGACGCUUGGAUAAUCAUAUCCACUUGCCUUACUGCACACCUAGUGUCUUUGAAAUUCUGGUUACCAACUAUCUCAAAAUCUUUACCCACAAGCAGAUCAAGGAGUUAUUGCUGGAAACUGAAGUAAGUCCUGCUGAGGUUGUUGGGCAGCUGACUGAUUGUAAACCUGUGGACCAAAAACUAGAAGGGUUGAUUGACUUCUUGACAGCCAAGACGACGAAAAUGGACGACUCUCGAAAGGUUGGUGGAAGUGUAGGUUAGUCUUCUUCUGAUGAUGGUUGACGUGCUAUGGUAGAAUAUAUGACUUGAUAGUUUGACUCUUAUUUUGAUUCUGAAUUUUGCCUUGGACUAUAUGGAGAUAUUUAAUGUGGUAUCUCAUACUGCGGUUUCAGGAUUUCUUUUGUCGUAGGAUGGUUAAGUCAAUGCGUAUUGGUUCGAACAAGUUAAGAGGGUAUAUUGGUUUGUGAUUUUGAGAUUAUGUGAAAAGGUUUCUAAUGUUUAUAAACAUCAAAUUAUGUUUUACGCCUGUGGCCUUUGCUUUAGUCUUUUUUCUUUUAGUAUGCUUCGUGUUUGGCUUCGAGUAACUAUUACUUUCUUACGACUUUGAAGUGAAAGAAACUAAACGUAAUAAGUCAAGAAUGAAAGUUACUUAAA